rnacentral:lncRNA from 1 species
AAUGUUGUGUUUGGUUGGGGAGAAUGGAAUGGAAUGAAAUGAAAUGAGUAAAAAAUACUUGAAACUAAUAGAGAUAGGAAGAAUGUUUUGAAAAAAUUUGAAGGAGUGCAAAAUUGCUAUGAUGAGAUUUGAGAAGAAAUUGAGGAUGAGAGAGAAUGGAGCAUUCCAUCUCAAAUGGAAAGGGUGAUAUCUAGCAUGUGGUGUAAGGAAUGGAAUGGAGGAAGUAAUGAAAUUUCUUAAAAAUCAUCCACAAGAUAGUUCAUUUUUCAUUCCAUUCCUUCCGGAAUCAUUCACCCCAACCAAACACAACAUAA